rnacentral:rRNA from 1 species
AACGAACGCUGGCGGCAGGCCUAACACAUGCAAGUCGAGCGAGAUCUCCGUGUCUAGCUGCGGUCGUGGGAGGAACGCGGGGGAAUAUGCCUGUUGGUACCGUAUACUCUCGGUAAACUGGGCGUAAUACAGUAUGUGCUCUUAGGGGGAAAGAUUUAUCGCCAAGGGAUUAGCCCGCGUUGGAUUAGGUAGUUGGUGGUGUAAUGGCCUAUCAAGGCGUCGAUCCUUAGCUGGUUUGAGAGGAGGAUCAGCCACGCUGGGGCUAAGACACGGCCCAGAAUCGUAGGGAAGGCAGCAGUGGGGAAUCUUAGACAAUGGGGGCAACCCUGAUCUCGCCAUGCCGGGUGAGUCAUGAAGGCGGUAGGGUUGUAAAGCUCUUUCAGCUGGGGAGAUAAUGACGGUACCAGCAGAAGAAGCCCCGGCUAACUCCGUG